rnacentral:rRNA from 1 species
UACGAAGGGGGCUAGCGUUGCUCGGAAUCACUGGGCGUAAAGCGCACGUAGGCGGAUCGCUAAGUCAGGGGUGAAAUCCUGGAGCUCAACUCCAGAACUGCCUUUGAUACUGGCAAUCUCGAGUCCGGGAGAAGUGAGUGGAACUGCGAGUGUAGAGGUGAAAUUCGUAGAUAUUCGCAAGAACACCAGUGGCGAAGGCGGCUCACUGGCCCGGUACUGACGCUGAGGUGCGAAAGCGUGGGGAGCAAACAGG